CCUUCAGGACAAACCACACACAGUUUUACAGUCUUCACAAAUACACAGCAUUGACAGAAAAGGCAAGGAUGCAAAUGUGUCUAAAAAUAAACCAUAAAUGAACACAGAAACUUUUUAUAUAAAGUAUUUCACCACUACAGUGGUCCAUAUGAUUGCACUAGGGCCGUUUUGGUAUAUUCUUAAAAAAUAUAAAAUUAAGUGAAAUAAAAUGAAGUUCCUUUCUAUUUUGGUCUGCUGACCUUGAGGAACUCAAACUCCGCCUCCGACUCUGAUGCUCCAUAAUAGUUGCUGUGAAGUUUAGGAAGCUCCUCCUUGAUGGUCGUUUGAUCCACCUUAUCCAGAACAGACACGGGCAGAUAGUGCUCCAGUCUGAAAUAGGUUUUCCCAUGGAGCUGAUGCACAAGGAAUGGAAGAAGACACAUUAGUUUUAAGUCAUGAUUUAAGUGAUUACAGCUGCUGCAUGGUGAGCGUCAUUCUGUAUUUCACAAGGUAAUAAACACUUAAGCAUGAUUAGACAGGUAGCAAGAUACAAAUAUGGGUCAAUAUCACUAUAAGGGGCCUUUCAGACUUUAAAACGUC